rnacentral:lncRNA from 1 species
ACGGUGGUGAACAAAUCUCUAACAACAAUCAUAAUAACAAUAAAUAAUGAAUAAUAAUAAUAAAACAGUAGUUAACAGUCCCUCCAUAACAGAAUAACAAUAAAAUGCAAGAGGAAAUAUUUUGAGGUGGAGACAGAAGAAGGAGUCAGGAUCACAGCAUCUGAGGGGGAGAUAGGAAAGGAAGGGAGGAAGAAAGCUUCUUAAUAUGCUCUUGGCGGGGCUGGGGUUGGGAACCCCUUUCCCAGACAAGGGACAGAAGAGGGGAAGGAGGGCCAGGAGGCCACUCUUUAUUGCUUUUUUUCUCAGGCUUCUGCUUUGUGUGAUCAGGGAAGGGAUCCCACAUAUGGGGAUGGUUAAUGGCUUUUGGGACUCUCUAGGAGCCCCUGUUUUAAGAAGGAGGCCAAAUGUGCAGGCUCAGGCCAAGGGGCAGAGAUGAAUGAGGCGAUGACCACAGCCUUGAUCCGGCAGGAGCUCAGAGAUGCCCGGGAAGACGGGGGGGCCCGAACGGAAGCAGAAAAACACUUAUGGCCGCUGGGGAGUUGGGAGAGCCAGGCUGGGGCUUCGGCAGGCCCAGGGAAAGUUCCCUUUCUAGGCUCUUUAUUAAAAAAUUUAAAAGGAGGAGUCGAGGCGCCUUGAAUUUUCCUUCGCGAGUUUGGAGACUAGCCGAUUUUUCAUGAAGCAAGCAAAGACCGCGGUCCCGGAUCCUGCAACAUCUACCUCAUUCUCUCCAGGCCUCUCCACUUGCCCGAGCUCUCAGCCACCAGGAGACAGAAGGAAGGGACUUCUGGGCUGCGUUGGGAGCGGGCACUGUCCCCUAUCCACUCCUGCUCGGUUUCCCAAAGUCCAGCGACAUCCGACCCUCCUGGGGGGAAAAAUACCAAUACCCAGACACCUCUGCACCCUGUUAUAUGACUGGGCUUGCUUCAGGAAUAUCUUACAAAGAAGAAGAAGAAGAAGAAAGAACGGCUUGGAGUCAUGUUUACAUCUAGUUCUACUGAUCGGUUCCCAUCUGGAGAGUUUAUUUAUAACUCCCUCUAUAACUCUCUGUUUGGAGGCACUGGUGGCUCUAUUGACAGACUGAUGUCUAGGAAAUAUUGCUCUAUGUCUAACCGUACCUAAAUGUGCUGUGGUUGUAUUUACAGAUUUAUGUUUGAAGGAAAUAUAAUUAUUUCCAUUGUAUUUGUGCAUAUACAGUAGUUAUAGGAGCAGAUUUAUAUAUGGGAAAAUAUACGACUCUCU